rnacentral:lncRNA from 1 species
UGCUUUGCCUUAAGAUAUGAAGACUCAGUGCCUGGUGCCUAAACUGCAUUGUGAGUGGAUAUUAAAACAACAAUAUGAAAAUGGCAGGACCAAAGCAGCUGGGAAGCAUCCAGUAAAUCAACGGCUGGGUAUCAAGGUGUGGCAACUAGGAAAUAUCAGAACAAAGCUCCUACAAAGCUAUAGCAGAGACAGAUAACACAGGAACAAAAAGGCUUCAGGACAAAGUCUCCAGUUACUGAGCCUACCUUAUUUGCAAAGACUAUGGGAAGGUCAGUUAUGUGUAAACUAGCAAGUGUUUAUAUAGCAUGCCUCACAGACAUUCUUUUCAGUGCUGAAGUCCAGACCUGACCAAGUAGUUCUUUUAACACACACAUACACACACACACACACACACACACACACACACACACACACACACAUCCAUAUACACACAUACAUUUAAAGUACCUACUGCAUGUAAUUCAUUAUGGUAAGCCUCACAAGAGAUGGAAAGAUUAACAACACAGUUGUUAAGAACCUCAUUUGAGAACUAACCAUUUGAACAUUUCAUCCCCCAGAAAAAUUCAUUUUUUCUCUCAUGGAGUCUAGUAGUGCAUUAUAGCACAUACAUAUAGUAAAAACAUAGGUGAACUCCAAGUAAAAUGUUUAAUGCUGUCUUAGGCCAGUACCUUUCUGGACAUUUGUGAAACCAAACAGGAUGAUUUAUCAUACCUCUGAUCCAAAACGUAUUUCUUGAACUCAAAUAUUUUUUAAAAGACCUAUCAGAGGUAGAAAACAUCCAGAUGAGUGAUCUAUCUCCUCUAUCACCCCAUCUCCAUCAUUCUCCAUUCCUAUAUUCAACCAAUGGCCAUGUUCUAUUGAUUUUUAGCUGUGCAAUAUUUCUGAGAAUCUCAUCCAACCUCCUCUUUCUACUCCCAUGGCCACUGAUCUCAUUUAGGUUCCCACUACUUCUUGUCUACUAAAAUGGAUUAAAAUAGACAAUCUUAACAGGCGUCACUGCUUCAAAUCUCUUCUCAUCAGUCCAACUGUGGGAAAUGUGGCUCUAAUACCAGAACUUUCUUAUUUCAAAUUCCAGGUUGGGACAAAAUGACUCACUCACAAGUCACUGAACACUUAACAAAGGAGUCUUACUUUGCCUUCUCAGAGCAAGGAUAUGCAACAAAAAUACAAAAGCAUUUAGCUUUUGGGAAUGCAGA